GAUGAACGCUGGCGGCGUGCCUAAUACAUGCAAGUCGAGCGAACAGACGAGGAGCUUGCUCCUCUGACGUUAGCGGCGGACGGGUGAGUAACACGUGGAUAACCUACCUAUAAGACUGGGAUAACUUCGGGAAACCGGAGCUAAUACCGGAUAAUAUAUUGAACCGCAUGGUUCAAUAGUGAAAGACGGUUUUGCUGUCACUUAUAGAUGGAUCCGCGCCGCAUUAGCUAGUUGGUAAGGUAACGGCUUACCAAGGCAACGAUGCGUAGCCGACCUGAGAGGGUGAUAGGCCACACUGGAACUGAGACACGGUCCAGACUCCUACGGGAGGCAGCAGUAGGGAAUCUUCCGCAAAGGGCGAAAGCCUGACGGAGCAACGCCGCGUGAGUGAUGAAGGUCUUCGGAUCGUAAAACUCUGUUAUUAGGGAAGAACAAAUGUGUAAGUAACUAUGCACGUCUUGACGGUACCUAAUCAGAAAGCCACGGCUAACUACGUG
rnacentral:rRNA from 1 species